rnacentral:rRNA from 1 species
CUAGCGGCGCGCCUAACACAUGCAAGUCGAACGAGAAAGCGGGGCAACUCGCGAGUACAGUGGCGCACGGGUGAGUAACGCGUGGGUAAUCUACCCUUAAGCCUGGAAUAACACGCCGAAAGGCGUGCUAAUACCGGAUAAGACCACGGAGCGCAUGCUCUGGGGUUAAAGGCGGGCCGCAAGGUCUGUCACUUAGGGAUGAGCCCGCGUCCCAUCAGCUAGUUGGUGAGGUAACGGCUCACCAAGGCUAAGACGGGUAGCUGGUCUGAGAGGACGAUCAGCCACACUGGCACUGAAACACGGGCCAGACUCCUACGGGAGGCAGCAGUGGGGAAUUUUGCGCAAUGGGCGAAAGCCUGACGCAGCGACGCCGCGUGAGGGAAGAAGGUUUUCGGAUCGUAAACCUCUGUCGGGGGGGAAGAAACUAUCGGUGGCUCAUACCCAUCGGUAUUGACGGUACCCCUUAAGGAAGCAUCGGCUAACUACGUGCCAGCAGCCGCGGUAA